rnacentral:rRNA from 1 species
AGUGAACGCUGGCGGUAGGCCUAACACAUGCAAGUCGAACGGCAGCACAGUAAGAGCUUGCUCUUACGGGUGGCGAGUGGCGGACGGGUGAGGAAUACAUCGGAAUCUACUUUUUCGUGGGGGAUAACGUAGGGAAACUUACGCUAAUACCGCAUACGACCUACGGGUGAAAGCAGGGGAUCUUCGGACCUUGCGCGAUUGAAUGAGCCGAUGUCGGAUUAGCUAGUUGGCGGGGUAAAGGCCCACCAAGGCGACGAUCCGUAGCUGGUCUGAGAGGAUGAUCGGCCACACUGAAACUGAGAAACGGACCAGACCCCUACGGAAGGCAGCGUGGGGGAAUAUUGGACAAGGGGCGCAAGCCUGAUCCAGCCAUACCGCGGGGGUGAAGAAGGCCUUCGGGUGGUAAAGCCCUUUUGUUGGGAAAGAAAAGCAGCAGGUUAAAACCCCGCUGUUCGGACGGUACCCAAAGAAUAAGCACCGGCUAACUUCGU